rnacentral:rRNA from 1 species
CACGAACGCUGGCGGCAGGCUUAACACAUGCAAGUCGAGCGCCCCGCAAGGGGAGCGGCAGACGGGUGAGUAACGCGUGGGAAUCUACCCAUCUCUACGGAAUAACGCAUGGAAACGUGUGCUAAUACCGUAUACGUCCUUCGGGCGAAAGAUUUAUCGGAGAUGGAUGAGCCCGCGUUGGAUUAGCUAGUUGGUGGGGUAAAGGCCUACCAAGGCGACGAUCCAUAGCUGGUCUGAGAGGAUGAUCAGUCACACUGGGACUGAGACACGGCCCAGACUCCUACGGGAGGCAGCAGUGGGGAAUAUUGGACAAUGGGCGCAAGCCUGAUCCAGCCAUGCCGCGUGAGUGAUGAAGGCCCUAGGGUUGUAAAGCUCUUUCACCGGUGAAGAUAAUGACGGUAACCGGAGAAGAAGCCCCGGCUAACUUCGUGCCAGCCGCCGCCGUAAAAC